rnacentral:rRNA from 1 species
GGCUCAGAUUGAACGCUGGCGGCAGGCCUAACACAUGCAAGUCGAGCGGCAGCGGGAAGAUAGCUUGCUAUCUUUGCCGGNNGAGCGGCGGACGGGUGAGUAAUGCCUAGGGAUCUGCCCAGUCGAGGGNAAUAACAGUUGGAAACGACUGCUAAUACCGCAUACGCCCUACGGGGGAAAGGAGGGGACCUUCGGGCCUUCCGCGAUUGGNUGAACCUAGGUGGGAUUAGCUAGUUGGUGAGGUAAUGGCUCACCAAGGCGACGAUCCCUAGCUGUUCUGAGAGGAUGAUCAGCCACACUGGGACUGAGACACGGCCCAGACUCCUACGGGAGGCAGCAGUGGGGAAUAUUGCACAAUGGGGGAAACCCUGAUGCAGCCAUGCCGCGUGUGUGAAGAAGGCCUUCGGGUUGUAAAGCACUUUCAGUAGGGAGGAAAGGUAGCAGCUUAAUACGCUGUUGCUGUGACGUUACCUACAGAAGAAGGACCGGCUAACUCCGUGCCAGCAGCCGCGGUAAUAC